GCGAACGCUGGCGGCAGGCCUAACACAUGCAAGUCGAGCGGCCGUAGCAAUACGGCAGCGGCAGACGGGAUAGUAACACGUGGGAACGUGCCCUUUGGUUCGGAAUAACUCGGCGAAAGCCGUGCUAAUACCGGAUAAGCCCUUACGGGGAAAGAUUUAUCGCCGAAGGAACGGCCCGCGUCCGAUUAGCUAGUUGGUGAGGUAAUGGCUCACCAAGGCAACGAUCGGUAGCUGGUCUAAGAGGAUGAUCAGCCUCACUGGGACUGAGACACGGCCCAGACUCCUACGGGAGGCAGCAGUGGGGAAUAUUGGACAAUGGGCGCAAGCCUGAUCCAGCCAUGCCGCGUGGAUGAUGAAGGCCCUAGGGCUGUAAAGUCCUUUUAACGGGGAAGAUAAUGACGGUACCCGUAGAAUAAGCCCCGGCUAACUUCGU
rnacentral:rRNA from 1 species